AACAUUUGGACAGCUUUCAAAUUCACAGGGGCAACUACAGCAGUGUCAUUAGGUUUCAUUUUUCCAUCUCUUGUUGCAUUGAGAUUAAGUCAUCGAGGUGAGGGUUUGAGCCAUGGAGAGAAGUUCUUGUCAUGGUUUAUGCUAAUCAUGGCAAUAGUAGUUGGCGUUGUUGGUGUAAUUGGAAAUAUUUAUAGCCUCAAAAGUGAAUCCAAAUGAUAUUCUUCUUACUGGUUUGGUGGUAGUUUUUAUGGAAAGAAAAUUGCCAGUUUUCGUCAUAGUCGAGUGAUGCUUUCUCUGGUGCCAGCCUACUCAUUUCAAACAACCAAAUCUAAUUGGGAAAUUGAUGGACCUGUGGCAAAAUGUUGUUUCAGAUUGCACUGAUGUUAGGAGGUUCUCACAGAGGCUUAUAAAGAUCUGAGGGGUGUCCUGAUGUUUGAGAUACAGCGACUUUUCAGAGCAACUGUGACAGGCCAUUUGAAGAAUGUUUAGGUAAAACUACUUAUAUAGUUUUAGGGCACCAACCACACGUAAGUUGAUCGAAAAAAUGCACUUCAGUUGCAGUAGGUUUUGUUUUCUUUUGCCUCCGAAUGUCAUUUAAACUGUGUACUUCGACAGCAAUAAUGCUGCUAAUGUGAAUUUUUUACUGGAAUUUAUGUAGCAAUGUGGCAUUCUUGAUAAAGGUUUUUCUUUUUUCUUCCCCAGAUUAUUAGGCUGUAUUCCUGUCCUUUAUUAUCAUUGUUUUCAAUGCCAAACUUGCCGUUUUUAUUUGAUAGUAAAAAC
rnacentral:misc_RNA from 1 species